UAUUGCGCAAUGGGGGCAACCCUGACGCAGCCAUGCCGCGUGAAUGAAGAAGGCCUUCGGGUUGUAAAGUUCUUUCGGUGAUGAGGAAGGAGGAUGUUUAAAUAGGGCAUUCAAUUGACGUUAAUCACAGAAGAAGCACCGGCUAACUCCGUGCCAGCAGCCGCGGUAAUACGGAGGGUGCGAGCGUUAAUCGGAAUAACUGGGCGUAAAGGGCACGCAGGCGGAUAAUUAAGUGAGAUGUAAAUCCCCAGCUUACUUGGAAUUGCAUUUCAUCUGGUAUCAAGUCUUGAGGAGGGGAAAUUCCACGUGAGCGGUAAAUCGAAAUGUGAGAAUCCGAGGAAGGGCCCCUGGCAAACUGCGUAGUUGAGUA
rnacentral:rRNA from 1 species